rnacentral:misc_RNA from 1 species
UCCGGUUUGGCACCGGCAGUCUCCAAUGAGUCCCCGGCAUUACCCGCUGGCAACAUUGGACAGGGGUUGCGCUCGUUGCGCCACUUAAGGCAACACCUCACGGCACGAGCUGACGACAGCCAUGCAGCACCUGUGCAGGCUCCCGAAGGAGCACCGGCUUUCACCGGUUUCACCCUGCAUGUCAAGCCCUGGUAAGGUUUUUCGCGUUGCAUCGAAUUAAUCCACAUAAUCCACCGCUUGUGCGGGUCCCCGUCAAUUCCUUUGAGUUUUAACCUUGCGGCCGUACUUCCCAGGCGGAGAACUUAACGCGUUGGCUUCGGCACCGCGGGGGUCAAUACCCGCGACACCCGGUUCUCAUCGUUUACGGCAUGGACUAC